ACUCAAAUGAAUUGACGGGGGCCCGCACAAGCAGCGGAGCGUGUGGUUUAAUUCGAUGCAACGCGCAGAACCUUACCUGGGUUUGACAUGCGCCCGGUAGGUCGGUCAAAACCGACCGACCCGCAAGGGAAGGCGCACAGAUGCUGCAUGGCUGUCGUCAGCUCGUGCCGUGAGGUGUUGGGUUAAGUCCCGCAACGAGCGCAACCCUUAUCGUCAGUUGUUUUUUUCUGGCGAGACUGCCCGAGAGGGAGGAAGGAAGGGAUGACGUCAAGUCAGCACGGCUCUUAUAUCCAGGGCUACACACACGCUACAAUGGCCGGUACAACGGGUUGCGAAGGGGCGACCUGGAGCCAAUCCCACCAAAGCCGGUCUCAGUUCGGAUCGCAGGCUGCAACUCGCCUGCGUGAAGUCGGAGUUGCUAGUAACUGCUGGUCAGCACACAGCAGUGAAUACGUUCCCGGGCCUUGUACACACCGCCCGU
rnacentral:rRNA from 1 species